AGUGAACGCUGGCGGUAUGCCUAACACAUGCAAGUCGAACGGCAGCACAGUAAGAGCUUUCUCUGACGGGUGGCGAGGGGCGGAUGGGUCAGGGAUACAUCGGCAUCUACUUUGUCGUGGUGGAUAACGUAGGGAAACUUACGCUAAUCCCGCAUACGACCUACGUGUGAGAGCAGGGGAUCUUCGGACCUUGCGCGAUUGAAUGAGCCGAUGUCGGAUUAGCUAGUUGGCGGGGUAAAGGCCCACCAAGGCGACGAUCCGUAGCUGGUCUGAGAGGAUGAUCAGCCACACUGGAACUGAGACACGGCCCAGACUCCUACGGGAGGCAGCAGUGGGGAAUAUUGGACAAUGGGGGCAAGCCUGAUCCAGCAAUACCGCGUGGGUGAAGAAGGCCUUCGGGUUGUAAAGCCCUUUUGUUGGGAAAGAAAAGGAGCAGGUUAAUACCCCGCUGUUCUGACGGUACCCAAAGAAUAAGCACCGGCUAACUUCGUG
rnacentral:rRNA from 1 species